GAAUUUCCACGGGAAAGAACAACCAGUGACGAUAGGGUUUUUCCUUUUCGCUCGUUCCAUCCAGUCGACUCGAUUCGUUUCCAGGAUACGCUGUAACAAUCACGAACGAAUAAACAUGAACAAUUGAUACGCGUAACGCGUAACGUUACAUCGUGAGGUUGAAAGGAAGGAGGACACGAGUACUGAAGGAUCGUGUCGUUAAGGAUGACUCAGCGAGCUAUCAGAGCCGUGAGCCGUGUGAAACGGAGACACACGGACGCCUCCGCAAUACGUCGAGGUUUAUCUUCCGUUGCACACCGUACACCGUACAUCGACAACCGAAAAAUUUUGUACCGCAACGAACGACACGGAAGUCAAAAAGGAGACGUCCCGGAGAAAGAGAAAUGGAAAAUUGCGUUCGAUUACCGUGGCGACGAUUAAAGAUCAAGACGAUCGAUCAUCGAGGCAAAUUCGAUCGAAGAAGCUAACGAUCAUCGUUACUACUCGAUUCAUCGUCUCCUGUUAAUACUUACGAGCGUUUUAGCCGACAUCUGUCUAUGCGGCUAUGUUCCAACUGG